rnacentral:rRNA from 1 species
UGGGGAAUUUUGGACAAUGGGGGCAACCCUGAUCCAGCAAUGCCGCGUGUGUGAAGAAGGCCUUCGGGUUGUAAAGCACUUUUGUCCGGGAAGAAAUCGCACCUGAUAAUACCGGGUGUGGAUGACGGUACCGGAAGAAUAAGGACCGGCUAACUACGUGCCAGCAGCCGCGGUAAUAAGUAGGGUCCAAGCGUUAAUCGGAAUUACUGGGCGUAAAGCGUGCGCAGGCGGUUGUGCAAGACCGAUGUGAAAUCCCCGGGCUUAACCUGGGAAUUGCAUUGGUGACUGCACGGCUAGAGUGUGUCAGAGGGGGGUAGAAUUCCACGUGUAGCAGUGAAAUGCGUAGAGAUGUGGCGGAAUACCCAUGGCGAAGGCAGCCCCCUGGGAUAACACUGACGCUCAUGCACGAAAGCGUGGGGAGCAAACAGG